CCUAUGGGGGGCAGCAGGCGCGAAAACUUUACAAUGCGGGAAACCGUGAUAAGGGGACACCGAGUGCCAGCAUCAUAUGCUGGCUGUCCAGAUGUGUAAAAUACAUCUGUUAGCAAGGGCCGGGCAAGACCGGUGCCAGCCGCCGCGGUAACACCGGCGGCCCGAGUGGUGAUCGUGAUUAUUGGGUCUAAAGGGUCCGUAGCCGGUUUGGUCAGUCCUCCGGGAAAUCUGAUGGCUCAACCAUUAGGCUUUCGGGGGAUACUGCCAGGCUUGGAACCGGGAGAGGUAAGAGGUACUACAGGGGUAGGAGUGAAAUCUUGUAAUCCCUGUGAGACCACCUGUGGCGAAGGCGUCUUACCAGAACGGGUUCGACGGUGAGGGACGAAAGCUGGGGGCACGAACCGGAUUAGAUACCCCCGUAGUCC
rnacentral:rRNA from 1 species